rnacentral:misc_RNA from 1 species
AUUUACUGUGAAUGAAAAGCCCUAUUGUUGUGAAAAGCAUUGGUUCAAAGUAACAGGUAUUAUUAUUAUUAUUAGUUAUAUUAUCGCUUUUUUUAUCAAAAGCCAAAAAUAUGCGAUUAUAAUUAUUUUAACUCCAGUCUGUUAAACAAGCAUAAGCAUACAUAUUUAUGUAAUAAGCCAAAAAAAUUUAUGGAGAUGUUGCUAUGAUGCCAAAAAUUAUUAAAAUGGAAGAUGAUGAUAUGGAUGAUAUUUUUGAUGAAGAAGUUGAAAAAUCAAUGGAAAUAAAAGCACUUCUGCCAAUAAAACAAGAAACACCAUUUUAUCCUGAAGACACUGCAUUAUCUAUUAAUAUUUCUCACACUAAUGAAAACAUCUUAGAUAUAAAAUCAGAAAAGGUAUAUGAAGAAAUCAUUGACAACUUUGAAAUCAAGUUGGAAGAAGUGGAUGAGCUUAAAAUUGAGCCUGCAGAUAAUAAGCAAAUAUGGCGUAAUAAAAACAUAAAAUCACAGAAAAAGAAAUACUAUAUUUGUGUGAUAUGUCAAAAAAAAUUUUCAUCUGCAAGAAGAAGAAAUAAUCAUCUACGUAUACAUUUUGAAUUCCCAUCUACAAGAAGAAGAAAUAAUCAUCUACGUAUACAUUUUGAUAUACCAGUGAAAACGAAAAGUGGAAAAAGCAGAUCUAGCAAUGAAUUUUUUGGAAAACAAAUAUUCGUUUGUGGUUUCUGCGGGCAGUUGCAUAUUAACAAAACACAAAUUUUAAGUCAUUGCCAACAGUAUUAUGUUAAAUCUCGACGAAAUAUUGGAUAUAAUAGAACACAAUCUAAUAGUGCUUUGAACGACAUUGAUGUAUUUAAAAGUAAAGUGAAACUAAAAACUGAAGUAGAUAACAGUGACAGGCAUUUGUUGGGAUGUCGAUUAUCUUCUAGUAAAAUUUCAAACAAAAAUUCAUUUGCAAGUCCAAUACGAUACUAUAGGACGUGUGGAAGAUGCGGCAAAUCAGUUACAAGUAAACCAGAGUUACACCAACAUUAUCAAACCCAUGAGAAAUACAAAUGUAAAAUUUGCGCUAAAGAAUAUCGUGUGAAAAAAAACCUAAUGAUUCAUAUGCUCAAUCAUAAAGAAGAUUACAAGACUUUUGAACUUAAUCAAAAUUCAAAACGGUGUGUAAUCUGUCAUAUUUGUUCAAAGUUUUUUGCUACUGAGCAUGCUCUCCGCUAUCACUUAAUUUCUCACACCGGUGAAAGGAAAUAUGAUUGCAAACAUUGUUUAAAAUCGUACAAAUAUGAACAAGAUUUGAAUAGACAUAUGCAUAGUCACACGGGUGGAGAAAUAAAACUAUUUGAAUGUCACCAUUGUUAUAAAGUCUUCAAACAGAAGGGGCAUUUAAAUCGUCAUAUAGAGGGUCAUGUUUCGCUAGGGUCCAAAAAUUAUAAAUGUAACAUGUGCACCAGGAGUUAUCAAAGGAAGGAGAGUCUGUACGUGCACAUUCGUACGGUACAUAAUGGUGUAAGAUACUUUCGUAGCCACAACAACGAAUAUGUAAGAAAGGAAAGUGAAAAUGAAAAAUGUUAUAUUUGUUACUUGUGUAAUAAAUCAUGUACACGAAAAACAGAUUUAAGAAAACAUAUCGCUAGAUGUACAAGAAAGAAGUUAAUGAUGCAAGAUAAACAAGAUCCUUUUGAAUGCAAGCAGUGUGACAAAAAAUUUCUUUACAAAAACAUGUUAGUUCGUCAUAUAAAAGAUCAUGAAAGUCGACGUUAUAUAUGUAAUUUGUGUAGUAAAUCAUACAAUCGAAUAAAAUGUUUUAAAAACCAUAUCUGCACCGUGAAGCAUGAAUGUAAACACUGUGGCAAAGUAUUUAAAUACCGUUCUAAUUUAUGUCGUCAUGUACAAGGUGCUCAUGAAGGAAAACGUUACAUUUGUGCAUUGUGUAAUAAAUCAUAUAUCCAGAAAGACGAUUUAAUAGCCCAUUUUGAAAGAGUUCACAAAGACCAAAAACUAGAGCAUCUCUAAUAUCCAUUAUUCUUGAAAUAUCAGAAAGCAAAUCGGAAAAAAUUAACUAAAUUACAAUCCCCAGGACAGGACGCGGACGGCACGGCUGUCUUAAGGGGCCCGUUAAAGAUUCCUUUUAUAUGAAAGAUAUUGAAUCCUAUUAUGGGUCGAUUUCUCAUACCUGCCUUAAUCUAUGAUUCAGCUGACCGCAGUUCACCGGUGAACUUCGAUUUUGUUUGGAAUGCAUUAGAUGGCAAAAGGUAAAAAACUAUCGCCAUUUUGUACGACCAUUUUUAUGCUGUUUUUGAAUAAAGUUAAAUUUAAGUAUUUAUAGUCAAAUAGUCAUUUUAAUAAUUAUAAAUAAAUGUUAUAAAAACAAAAAUAUUGUUAUCGUGUAUCGUUAGGCUUAAUAUAAUAAAAUAGGAUAUAUUUAUAUUAUGACAGCGUUUCGUGUUGAUACAACGCAUGCGUAAUCCAUGAAAUCAUCUGAACUGGGUUCUGAAAUCUUUGAACGGCCGAAUUCCAGCGUUCAAGCAUCGUUCAAGUUUUAACUGCCAUCGGUAGAACGUGAAUUGAGAAAGACGAUUCUGAUUUUAAACUGACGUUCACUAAAAGUUCAGGUUAAACUGGAGUUGAACUCGAUAUGAGAAAUUGGCCCUAUAUGUAUCAUUUACGUAAAGUGAUUACGUACGGUAAACUCGAUUUACAGGCUGUAAUCUCCAAUAACACAUGUAUAUAAAAUCGGUAUGAUGUAUCAUCGUUAUCCAACUGGUUGCCUACUUUCGUAUGUAAUAUCUUUUACGUAAACGCACGCCUAAACGUAAUUUUUAAACUUUUCUAAACUAAAAUUACUUGCCGUUUAGUUAGGUUAUGUUUAUUAUUGGUCGCGUUCACCAGAAUAAUCCGAGUGCAAUCCGAUUAAUUUGCGCUGAAACGCUGACAGUUUUUUUACUAGUGAACGACUGACGUUUGACAUUCGAUUGAGAGUGUUCUGUGUUCCAUUUGUUUAUGUUUUUAUUCUUUGUUUAUAUAAUUUAUAACCUAUUUAGACAGUUUUGUUUUUAUUUUAAAUAAAACUGAAACUGUCUAAACUAAAAUGGAUAAUAUUCUUGAAGAACUUUUGUUUGGGGACGAAAUUAGCAAAUGCCGUUAUACAUUUAGCAGAUGUACCUACCUCAAAUUAUUCCAGAAGGAUGAGAUGAAAUUAAAUAUAUAUAAACCAUAAUUCAAUAUCCAAUUUAGAGAACAUUUUCGUAUGUCCAGAACUACUUUCCAGGAACUAUUUAAUUGUAUUGGUCAUAUCCACCAAUUUGAGAACGGAAUAAUUCUAUUGGAAAAAAUUAAUGUUUAUGAUGUGGAUGCUAAGUAAACCAGAUAAUUUGUUGCUGGGGAUACGUUUGGUUUGCCAAAGAGCUCUGGACAUAAGAUUUUCACCCAAAUAAUAUAGAAUUACAAAAAAUUGGAAAUAACUAAUCUUGAAUAUCAAUGUGUAUAUUGAGUUUAAUUUUAUUGUAAAUAUUCUAUAAUAUAAUUUUAUUGUAAAUAUUGUAUUAACACAUUUGUGGACACAUUUUCAUAUGCAGACAGUAAUUUCCCUUUGUAAGUACAUGCAUAUAUAGUCGUAUCUGCGAAUGGGUUAAUUGUAAAUCGUAAUCAAUAAAAAUUUUUUGUGAAUCAAUAAAAAACUGGUUUGUUUGAAAAUAAAUGUAGUACAAAUGUGGUUAUAAUAUUUAUUUUCAUGCUUAGAUAAAAACUAAAUGUAUUGUAACACAACCUUUCAUAUAUCUUCCUCCUCCAUUGUUAAGCAGAAUUUGUUAACAAGAAUUGUCCCUCCAUUCUUUUUUUAAUAAGAGGAAUUUCUUCCUUAGCGUUCCUAGUAUUUGGUUGUGGCUCUAAAAUUGCAUUUGUUUCACUGAGAGCAUCUAAAAGGUCUCUCAAUCCUUAUUUCGAUUGACAUAGCCAUACUCGUAGAAAUAAUUCUAUCUGUAUUGAUGGUAUUAUCAGAGAACAACGAACACAUGGUGGUCUUCAGAGUGCUCCCAACCGACAGUACCUUAUGCUGCUGCGUUUUCUUUUACUGUUUUAACCCUUAUCCGGGCAAGUGGGUCUCAAUAGGCCCGAAACGCCAUGUCUUUUAUAUGGAAGUAAAAUGUCUUACCCGGAUAAGUAUUAAAGUGAGCUUUCUCGUUUCAGAAUUUUUUAUCGAAUAUAGCUUCAAGAUAACGUAACCAUGCAAAAUAAUUAUUUUUUCCCUUUAUAGGAUGCCAGCAACAACUUUGUAAUGUAAGAUUGCUUGGAAAUGUGCUUCUGUAUGAGCAUCAUAAAGGGAUGUCUACUGCAUUCCCAGUUUAUCUCAAGAGUUAGUUGGUUGUGAUCAAAGAAUCUUAUUAAAAAAUAGAUUAUAUCUCCCUCUAGUUCUUUUUUCAUAGUACUUAUAUUAAAUUUGGAGUAUGCCUAAUUCCAUGAAAUGACAACAAAUAAUAUGAUUGUAAAUAGUUUUGAAAAAGCUGUUUAUAAUUAAAUUUUUUUUAAAACGUCUACUUUUAAAAAUUUCGUACCUAGGCCUGGAUCCCGCAUACCAAAAAAAAGUUGAUUAAUAGCAAGCUCAAAUUUGUUAAUAGCUUAAUCUAGUUGGACACACUUUGAUGUAUAGAAACACUGGAACAGGGGAAGCCUUAAUUGUGGAACGUGCCAUCCUGACAAGUUUAUGAUUGUGAAAACUAGCAGGUUGUUUUUAAGUUUAUUCAAUAGCAAACUUUGUAUAUUAUAAUAUAUGAAAAAAUUUUUGUCCGAAAAAUAUGUUGGGCAGUUGGCUGAAAGACUUUGGUCGAUGGCCUUUUAGUACAUUGUAUCAAUAAAGUAUGUCUCUCCAUGUUGGGCAUUUUAAUAAUUCCGACACGUAGAACAUGUCAGAGGAUAGGAAUUAUAUUGGUGAUAAAUAGCAGUCUGAUUUUGCAUGCUAAUGAAAGAGUAGCAAAUCAAUUGGAAGUUCUGUCCGACACAAUACAUGAGACGUUUUUGUAGUCUGACGUUCGAAACCUGUAACCUGUUCAACAAUUAAAACUUCCCGUUCCAGUGUUUGUUUUAAAUUAAAACAUCAAAGUUUGUAGACACCGUUAAGCUAAUAAUAAAUUUUCAGCUUGCUAUUAAUAAACUUUCUUCUGGUAUGCAGGAUCCAGGCCUAUUAACUAUUUAACUCGAGCAGAUUCCAUUUUACCAGCGAAUAUAAAUCUCAUUCAAAAUUCGGCAUAUCUAGAUACUUAACUUAAUGAAAUCUUACCAGAAUAAUAAACGUUUACUACAAGAACAAGAAAAUUUUGAUAAUAAAUUAAAGAUUCGGUCAGCUGUAGAAAGGUUUGAACUAAUAAAAUGCAAAUUUAGAGGAUUAAAAUUUGAUACAGAAAAUAUUCGAUUAACGAACAUUGUGUUUUACACAAUUUUAUAAUAUAGAAGGCAAUAAUGUUCUGGAUAAAUGCAAUACUGAGUAGGUAUGCUAAAUAAAGAAAUUAAUAAUAUAACGGUGGGUGAAGAAGAAUAAAAAAUUGGAAAUAUUGAAAAUAACUAAUAUGGAGUAUUAUUGUAUAGGUACCUUCCUACCUAUAUUAAAUUUAAUUUUAUUGUAGGUAAAUAUUAAUUACAAAUAGUUGGUAUGCAAUCAAUACCAAUUUUUAUAAGAUUUGUGAAUCAAUCAAAAACUGGAUUGUUGGAAAAUAAAUGAGGUAGGUACUUACUAUUACACAUAUUGUGUUAAUAUUUCUAGUAACUAUAUAAAUAAAAAAACACAAAUAUUUCUAACUUAAUUUAGAUAAUAACUAUAUAUAGGAUACAUAUAAAUAAGAACUACAAAUAUUUACAAUAAAUUACAUACAAUAAUUAUUGUAUUUAUAUUCAAUUUUAAUUAAAUUGUCCAUUUUACUUUGAACUUAAUUUUAAAGUUGGCGGGAUUCAGCUAUCACAGCACAAUAACAAAUUUAAGGCUGAAUAAAAUGGCGAGCGCUUCCAAUCAGAUUAAUUCAGCGCACCGUUCACUAGUAAAAGAGCUUCCAAUCCGAUUGCAAUCCGAUUCCAAGCUCUGUGUUUGAUGAACGCAACCAUCGUUAUGAUAUUAAUAAUUAUUUUGUGAAACCAAGUUGUUUGUGUGUCAGACUUGUAUUUUUAGUUUACUUUUUAAGUGAUUUUUUAGUUGUUUAGUACCUCAAUAUAUUAUAUCAUAAAAUGAA